rnacentral:rRNA from 1 species
UACGAAGGGGGCUAGCGUUGCUCGGAAUUACUGGGCGUAAAGCGUGCGUAGGCGGUUGCAUAAGUCGGAUGUGAAAUCCCCGGGCUCAACCUGGGAAUUGCAUUCGAGACUGUGUAGCUGGGGUGCGGAAGAGGGAAGCGGAAUUUCCGGUGUAGCGGUGAAAUGCGUAGAUAUCGGAAGGAACAUCAGUGGCGAAAGCGGCUUCCUGGUCCAGCACCGACGUUCAGGCACGAAAGCGUGGGGAGCAAACAGG